rnacentral:rRNA from 1 species
UACGUAGGGACCAAGCGUUGUCCGGAAUCAUUGGGCGUAAAGGGCUCGUAGGCGGUCUGUCGCGUCGGGAGUGAAAACUCAGGGCUUAACCCUGAGCCUGCUUCCGAUACGGGCAGACUAGAGGUAUGCAGGGGAGAACGGAAUUCCUGGUGUAGCGGUGGAAUGCGCAGAUAUCAGGAGGAACACCGGUGGCGAAGGCGGUUCUCUGGGCAUUACCUGACGCUGAGGAGCGAAAGUGUGGGGAGCGAACAGG